GGAAGGUGCAAGCGUUAAUCGGAAUUACUGGGCGUAAAGCGCGCGUAGGCGGCUAGAUAAGUCGGGUGUGAAAGCCCUGGGCUCAACCUGGGAACGGCAUUCGAUACUGUCUGGCUAGAGUGUGAUAGAGGGAGGCGGAAUUCCACAUGUAGCGGUGAAAUGCGUAGAGAUGUGGAGGAACACCAAUGGCGAAGGCAGCCUCCUGGAUCAACACUGACGCUGAGUGCGAAAGCGUGGGGAGCAAACAGGAUUAGAUACCUGGUAGUCCACGCUGUAAACGAUGUCAACUAGCCCGUUGGGAGCAUUUUUGGCUCUUGGUGGCGUAGCUAACGCAUAAGUUGACCGCCUGGGGAGUACGGUCGCAAGAUUA
rnacentral:rRNA from 1 species